rnacentral:misc_RNA from 1 species
UAGGGAAACAAGUCUUCAAGGCGAGUUAGGUACUGUAUAAGCAUUCUGAAACAGUCGAUCUAAAAAAUUUUGUAAUAUUUAAAGAGCACAGAUCACGUUUGUUAUGCUGUUCUCAGUUGAUGGAACAUAUUUAGGAGGCUAUUAGCUAAGAAGACACUGUUGAUGCUAAAUAUAAUAUGCGACUUUGGAAAACUUACUCUUUACCUACAUAAAACUGAUAAAACUGAG